AAUGAAAACACUGUCUGAAUGUAAAUUGUCAUUGUGAAUAUAGUUAACUGAACAUAUAUAUAUCAAAUGCAAAAAAUAUCAGAAAGUAUUUUUAAAUUUGUUUCUUAUAUUGCUACAACUAUUUUUUUAUUCUAAAACACUUGCCAUAUUACACAUUUUUGUCAUUCGAAUCACAUAACCUCACUAAAUUAAUAUUAUAACAGAAAAUAUUAUCGACACAACUAAAUAGUACAUAUAAUAUCGAUCUAUUCAAUCGAUUACACAAGUGAAACACAAGUAUUGACUUGUUCUCGAUUGAUCUCGAAAAAAAUAAAUGGCGAAACGAUUUUUAGUGAACUUCAUUAAAUUAAUAUUAUAAUAGAAAACAUCAUCGAUACAACUAAUUAGUACGUAUAGUAUCGAUCUAUUUAAUCGAUUACUCGCAAGUAAAAUAAGUACAAGUAUGACUCGUUCUCGAUUGAUCUCGAAAAAAAUAAGUAGCGAAACGGUUUUUAGUGAAUUUUUCGCGAGAAUGCUGUUGGUGUUAUUUGUCAAGCGUGACCGAAGGAAAGAGCAGCGGUUUCGAAUGAGAAAAUUUAUGGGUCGCAAUGUGUCGACGGAAACCUUAAAUUUUAACGUCCCUGUCGCGUACUUGGUUGCGUCCUGCCUUGCCUGUUAAGAACCUUGCGAAGGGGGAUUACGAGUUGACUGCCACGAAGCGAACAUGGAACAUCAAGGGGUGGUUCCACUCUCUCCACGGUGGGGGAGAAUCAGAAGUAUGGUGGUGGUUCUAUGGUAGGGAGAUGUAGACGGUGCCACAGGAAAAGGUGUAGGGAAGAGGCGCACGUUGCUCCUUCUUCCUUCCUGAUGCUUUGCUUGUGUCUCUUCCUGAAUAUUUUUCUUUUUGUAUUGCUCGAAAUAAAUAAAUCGGAUUUAACCGUUUGAGUCAAAGUUUGAACAUAAUAAAUAAAGAGACAAAUCAAUGGGGCUGUCGAGUCGGCGGUCGCUGUUUGAUGUCAAGAAAGAGCUCGACCUGCUCAGAUUCAGCUAUCUCGAUGUCGUCGCCGACAACGGCAUCCUACUGCGAUAACGCCAUUAUGCGAAUUCGAGAUUUGCAUAUUUCAGAAAGUGCUGCACAGGAAAGCAUAAACAACUCUGGUCGCUCUGCGCAACGAGAGCGUUGUGGCUUCCUCGUCAGAAGAGUUACACGCAUGGAAGAUUUACGGAGAAUCCAACGGUUUUCCUUUUCCCUUCCUCCACCUUUUUUUCACUUUUUUCUCCCGUCGUUUUUUUGCUAUCUUUGUUAUUUUUUUUCUCUUUGUUUUUAUUAUUAUUUUUUUUUUUUUAGGAAAUCUCUUCUUACACUUUGUAUUCAGACAUAAAUGCAUGGUGACGCGAAAUGGAAAUUGGUUGAAUACCUUCAGAUGAUCAUUUCGGUAUGGAGAACGAAAGAACCGGUUCAACAAUUUUGUUAAACUGAAACUUGCGGAUUGAAUCCUAAAUAUCCUAAUAUUUGGAUAACCAUCUUUCGACAUAUUAAUUGAUGCAUCUUGAAAUAGGUAGAAGAUUGUUCGUACAUAUGAUUUU
rnacentral:lncRNA from 1 species